GACGAACGCUGGCGGCGUGCCUAAUACAUGCAAGUGGGACGCAAGGGAACACACUGUGCUUGCACACCGUGUUUUCUUGAGUCGCGAACGGGUGAGUAACGCGUAGGUAACCUGCCUAUUAGCGGGGAAUAACUAUUGGAAACGAUAGCUAAUACCGCAUAAUAUUAAUUAUUGCAUGAUAAUUGAUUGAAAGAUGCAAGCGCAUCACUAGUAGAUGGACCUGCGUUGUAUUAGCUAGUUGGUAAGGUAAGAGCUUACCAAGGCGACGAUACAUAGCCGACCUGAGAGGGUGAUCGGCCACACUGGGACUGAGACACGGCCCAGACUCCUACGGGAGGCAGCAGUAGGGAAUCUUCGGCAAUGGACGAAAGUCUGACCGAGCAACGCCGCGUGAGUGAAGAAGGUUUUCGGAUCGUAAAGCUCUGUUGUAAGUCAAGAACGUGUGUGAGAGUGGAAAGUUCACACAGG
rnacentral:rRNA from 1 species